AUACGUAGGGGGCGAGCGUUGUCCGGAAUGAUUGGGCGUAAAGGGCGCGUAGGCGGCGCGGUAAGUCUGGAGUGAAAGUCCUGCUUUCAAGGUGGGAAUUGCUUUGGAUACUGACGCGCUUGAGUGCAGGAGAGGUUAUCGGAAUUCCCGGUGUAGCGGUGAAAUGCGUAGAGAUCGGGAGGAACACCAGUGGCGAAGGCGGGUAACUGGACUGCAACUGACGCUGAGGCGCGAAAGUGUGGGGAGCAAACAGGAUUAGAUACCCUGGUAGUCCACACUGUAAACGAUGAAUGCUAGGUGUAAGAGGUAUCGACCCCUUUUGUGCCGGAGUCAACACAAUAAGCAUUCCGCCUGGGGAGUACGGCCGCAAGGUUGAAACUCAAAUGAAUUGACGGGG
rnacentral:rRNA from 1 species